GACUGUGUGGAGUAGUGGUUUCAGCACUGGAUUAUGACUCUGGAGAUCAGGGUUCAAAUGCCUGCUGAGCCA